UACGGAGGGGGCUAGCGUUGUUCGGAAUUACUGGGCGUAAAGCGCGCGUAGGCGGCUUUGUAAGUUAGAGGUGAAAGCCCGGAGCUCAACUCCGGAAUUGCCUUUAAGACUGCAUCGCUAGAAUCAUGGAGAGGUUAGUGGAAUUCCGAGUGUAGAGGUGAAAUUCGUAGAUAUUCGGAGGAACACCAGUGGCGAAGGCGGCUCACUGGCUCGGUACUGACGCUGAGGUGCGAAAGCGUGGGGAGCAAACAGG
rnacentral:rRNA from 1 species